GUGCAGCAUUUUUAGACCACAUCAAUGGAAGCUCACAGAUGUAAUUCAAAAAUGAUAUCUCAAGUUAUUAUCAUAUUUCUACUCUUUUUUUCAAAGAAGCAAGUUCACUGCCAGGACGUCACCCAGGAACCAACAAUCAGCUGGAGUUUUGAGUCCAAGUCCGCAGAAAUGAAAUGCAGCCACAAAAAAGAUAUCACUUAUAACCAGAUGUACUGGUACCGACAGCGACCGGGGGAGACCAUGACCCUCGUUGUGUACACGAUGUUCGGUGGGAAGACAGACUACGGAGAGAACCCGCAGAGCAAAUACUCAGCAGUCAAAGACGCAGCGGAGACCGGAGCUCUGACUGUGAAGGACCUGCAGCCUGAUGACAGCGGCGUGUAUUUCUGUGCCGUCAGCAAACACAGUGAUGUGAGGAAACACAACAGCUGAACAAAAACCGACUGCCAAUAAAACAGAGUAAA